rnacentral:rRNA from 1 species
UACAGAGGGUGCAAGCGUUGUUCGGAUAUACUGGGCGUAAAGCGCACGUAGGCGGCGCAGCAAGUCAGGGGUGAAAUCCCGGGAGCUCAACUCCGGAACUGCCUUUGAAACUGCAGUGCUAGAAUCCUGGAGAGGCGAGUGGAAUUCCGAGUGUAGAGGUGAAAUUCGUAGAUAUCCGGAGGAACACCAGUGGCGAAGGCGACCCGCUGGGUCACACCUGACACUGAGACGCGACAGCAUGGGGAGCGAACGGG